CAUUUUUGAUAGCCAUUAUAUUAUGUGUUUUAAUAAGCGGUUCAGUAUUAUUGUUGUAUUACGGCGACAUUAUCAUCAGCAUCAUCAUCAUAAGCCCGUUGCAGUCCACUGCUGGAAGAAGCCCUCUCCCAAGGGGUUGUGCUGGCGAGACCGGCUGGGCCCGAGCGUACGGCGUCGGCGCGGGGGUGGCAAAUGGAGCUGAAUCAAAGGGUGGCGAUGAUGCGCAGUAUGCCCCUAUAUUGAUGUUUAAUGGCGGCCGUUCCCCAUACUGGGGGUGAGACGGCUAGUAUGGUACGUUAGUUUAUAGAGAGAAUAUGCAUAUAUUGUAAAUGCGGCAAAUUAUGUCCAUGUAAUAGUCUUAAAUUAAAAAAAAAAAACAAUAUUAAAGAAUGAUAUUGCUAUACAGGAUAUAAAGUAAAAUAAAAUCUACGAAAAAUAAUUAAUGUAUCGUAGCAUCUCGAUACAGUUUGAACUCGUUAGUCAAGUAUUUGACAAAGACAAAUAGAAAGACCAUUAUGUGGAAUACAUAGGGCGUUCAUCACACAGACCGCUAUAUAUUUCCUUUUUAAGUUCCAGUAUCUCAGCCCUCUGAACCACAUUUCGUUGUUGGACAAUAGUCUUUCAGUUGUAAUAUUCUGCCUAGAAAGUUGUCAUAACCCGUGUUGCAUUGUUUUCACACUUUAAAUAAGAUUUACCCACCGGACAUUUCAUGUUCAUAUGAUACUCAAGAGAAUUUGUGAUAAACUGCUCACUGAUAAAGACAUCAUACGGUGCACAUGCCCUAGCCAUCUCAAACGGUCUUACUUUAAAUAUGGCAGUGACGUUUGGCAGUUGUUUUUUGGUCCAGAUAAUAUUUAUUAUAAUAUUUCUAACAUUGUUUGUAACGCAGUAUUUUACUAAAUCAAACUGCUUUAUCCUUUCGAGACGGCAUACUAUGUUCAGAUAGCACUAUAUCAUAUGUAUAGAAAACACCUACUACCUACUUAUUUUAUACGUACCACGUGACAAUGUUACCAAAUUAUGCGCAUCAUGGCGUGAUAAUACACGGCACGGCACGCCCUAAUAAAACAAGGCUUUCCCAUAGAUACUUAUUAUUAAUUUAUCCUGUUACAGCACUAUAAAAUAUAUUUGGUUAUGAACCGAUCCUCUGAUCUUGAGAUUCAUUGUAAAAUGGUUACCAGUAAGCAUUGUAAAAUAUUUAUAAUAAUUUUACGAAACAAUUCUAGGGAGAACGAGUUAUUGUUUAAAAAUAAUAUUUUAUUUCUAAUUACUCUUAAUUAAACAAUUUACGAUUGGAUUGUUUUCCUGGGUUUUAUUUUUGAUGGUACCUAUGUAAGGGCUGUAUGAAGUCUAAAAAAACAUUACCGGGAGAGGUGUCAUGGUCAUCAGAAUAAUCACUUAGUUUAUGUCAAUUGGGUCCGCUACUUGACGCUGUCCAGAGGUUUACAAAAAAUAUAUCUGGCCCUCUCUCAUCAACAAUAAAAUAGCUUUUAUAAUAAUCACAAUCAAUUUAAAGUUUUUCAUAAAAUAUAUAAGGAAAUUUUAGUCCAGCAUAACUGAAUACAUUAAUACAAGAAAUUCGCACAAGUCACAUAUCCACCCUAAUCAGGGAUUUUAUUAAUAAUUUUCCUCUUGUAUAUAUUGGUAUUUAGAAUUCAGCCAUUACCUUAAAAGGACAUUAUGGCCGUCAAGGAAAAUUCGUUAUUUAUUUGAUCCAAUUACAGGAAUCUGCGUCACGGCUAUCAAUAACAUUACAAGAAUAUUUAAUUAUUUCAAUACGGUUCACUGUAAUCACGUCCUUUAUUUAUAUGUCAUUAUAUUGUGGUCAUGAUUUCCUUAUUUUGUGUAACGCGAGUGAACUAAAGCUUUAUCAUAAGGCUUUAAGGGGAGGAAAAAUAAAUAUAAUAUCAUAAAGGAUUCCGGAAAACGGUUGACAACAACUGAAUAAGAGUAAAGCCACAGAAGGCGAAUUCGAAUUAAAAUCAUUCAGACUAUAAACGGUAGGGCAGCUUCAAUGGUCUAGUGACAGUAAACCUAUUUGGGCUGUGAUCCCUGAGGUUACGGGCUCAUGUUUAAAAUGUUAACAUGUUAUCAUUACUGAAGUAUUACCUACCCGCAAUACUAACAUUUUCUUUUUUUAACGUCUUCUGUUGAAACAACUAGUUACUAGGUAUUUGAAUUGUUUCUCAAGCCAAAUGAAGUUGUGAUGGUAGAUUUCUGUAUGCAUACUCAAAUUUUUGACUCUAAAUGUCUGAACAUUUAAUGCAUUAUUUAGGUACUUUUAAUUCUUUAGAAAAUAUACGUGAAAUACCAAAAGAGAUAGGUAGAUGCAACUGUCUUUUUGGAAAUGCUACGUUCUUAGAAAGAGGCAAAGUAACAAAGUAUCAAUUGAAGUAGUAAGUCAUAAAAAGUCAUAAUUUAAUGUUUUCGGAGUUUGGCGUAGUUAACAAUAGUACAUCACGUGAUCGCUUGACGACACAAGGUCGAGGCGAUCCAGUUGGCAGCCGGCUGGGUUCGACGCAUGCCUCGACCAAGUUCAUUGCUCACUCCAACGUACCUACUUACCAUAACUACUAUUUUUAAUUGUCAACUAUUUUUUUAAGGAUUACGUAUAUACAUUAUCAAUAUGUAUGACAAAAAAUAUUCAUUCGAGUUGCAACAUUGUGAGAUAUAAUGGUUAUUACUAAGACAUAUUGCCAAAAUAAAUGCUUAUCUGAGACAUUCAACUCAAUUUAUCUUGUAACAUGCAAAAGGGCAUGGUUCAAUAAAUUAAUUUCAUACCUACUUAAUGAAUUAUGAGAAAUAGCCUUAAUGUGCAGAAAUAAUGUCAAGUUGAAAAAAUGGUGAUAAUAAAACGGGUCGACACAGUUUUAUCUCAGAUAAAAAUCGAAAGUGUAGAAGCGGUGGUUCGUGUAAAAAAUGACAUCCGCGCAACAUCUGGCGCACAGCGGAAGGAAGAAAUUCAAAAACCCUGUAUGUCAAGGUGAAUGCGAAUAGUGCGUGAAGACUUUUAGCAACAUACGUUGUUACUUUAUCCUUUAGGUUUAUUUCAUCUAUACUUUUUAUGGUUGAAGUAGCUAUGAAGGCAUCAUAACAUAAAGCAAAUUUAGUAAAAGCUGUUUACACAGAAUAGCGCCCCUGCGACUUGCAAAUUUUUUAUUAAUUUAAUAUACAUAAUAUUUUA